UCCAGACUCCUACGGGAGGCAGCAGUGGGGAAUAUUGCACAAUGGGCGAAAGCCUGAUGCAGCAACGCCGCGUGAAGGAAGAAGGGUUUCGGCUCGUAAACUUCUAUCAACAGGGACGAAAGAAAUGACGGUACCUGAAUAAGAAGCCCCGGCUAACUACGUGCCAGCAGCCGCGGUAAUACGUAGGUGGCAAGCGUUGUCCGGAAUUACUGGGUGUAAAGGGAGCGCAGGCGGGAAGCCAAGUCAGCUGUGAAAACUACGGGCUUAACUUGUAGACUGCAGUUGAAACUGGUUUUCUUGAGUGAAGUAGAGGUUGGCGGAAUUCCGAGUGUAGCGGUGAAAUGCGUAGAUAUUAGGAGGAACACCAGUGGCGAAGGCGGCCUACUGGACGGUGACUGACGCUGAGGCUCGAAAGCGUGGGGAGCAAACAGGAUUAGAUACCCCCGUAUC
rnacentral:rRNA from 1 species